AACGUAGGUACCGAGCGUUAUCCGGAUUUACUGGGCGUAAAGCGCGUUCAGGCGGUUUGGCAAGUCGGGCAUGAAAUCUCUCGGCUCAACCGGGAGAGGUUGUCCGAUACUGCUGGACUUGAGGGCAGUAGAGGGAUGCGGAAUUCCAGGUGUAGCGGUGAAAUGCGUAGAUAUCUGGAGGAACACCGGUGGCGAAGGCGGCAUCCUGGACCGGUAUUGACGCUGAGGCGCGAAAGCCAGGGGAGCAAACGGG
rnacentral:rRNA from 1 species